GGCCUAACACAUGCAAGUCGAGCGGAUGACGGGAGCUUGCUCCUUGAUUCAGCGGCGGACGGGUGAGUAAUGCCUANGAAUCUGCCUGGUAGUGGGGGACAACGUUUCGAAAGGAACGCUAAUACCNCAUACGUCCUACGGGAGAAAGCAGGGGACCUUCNGGCCUUGCGCUAUCAGAUGAGCCUAGGUCGGAUUAGCUAGUUGGUGGGGUAAUGGCUCACCAAGGCGACNAUCCGUAACUGGUCUGAGAGGAUGAUCANUCACACUGGAACUGAGACACCGUCCA
rnacentral:rRNA from 1 species